rnacentral:tRNA from 1 species
GCCCAGGUGGUGAAAUUGGUAGACACGCCAUCUUGAGGGGGUGGUUCCGUAACGGUGUAGGGGUUCGAGUCCCCUCCUGGGCA